rnacentral:rRNA from 1 species
CAGCCGCCGCGGUAACCCCAGCGCCACAAGUGGGAACCACGCUUAUUGGGUCUAAAGCAUCCGUAGCCGGUUCUGCAAAUGCCCUGUGAAAUCGUUGCGCUUAACGUAACGGCGUGCAGGGUAGACUACAGAACUAGAGACCAGAGGAAGGAGACGGUAUUCCUGAGGGAGCGGUAAAAUGUGAUAAUCUCAGGAGGACCACCGAUGGCGAAGGCAGUCUUCUAAUAUGGAUCUGACGGUGAGGGAUGAAAGCUGGGGGAGCAAACCGGAUUAGAUACCCGGGUAGUCCCAGCUGUAAACUAUGCAAACUCAGUGAUGCAUUGGCUUGUGGCCAAUGCAGUGCUGCAGGGAAGCCGUUAAGUUUGCCGCCUGGGAAGUACGUACGCAAGUAUGAAACUUAAAGGAAUUGGCGGGGGAGCACCAG